UGACCUUCUCCAAAAUGCCUAAUUUAUAAAUAUUUCCAUCUAAGUCCAACUGGCAUGUUCCAAUUAUAACUUGCCUUCAUUUUUUUUUUUUUUUUAUCAUGGCCUUAUAUUCUUUUUUGAGUCUCAAACAUUUUUAAUGUUUUGGGACUUAGUCUUCAACAUGAAUGGGUCUUUGUUUCUAAGCCUCCAUCUUUAAGCUUUAGGACUUGGGCCGUAGGUCUUGAAUUUUCUUGGUGGGUCUGGCCCGUAAUUGCUAGCCCAACUUGACAGGAAAAUUCUUAAACCUUGGAUUUUAAUGGGUUGGAAAUUCAUGUUAGAAAUUGUUGAGGUCCAAGUCUUCAUAGGAGAGUGUUAGGCUAAAAUAUUACUCAAUGGGCUUGUUAUGAUGGCUUUCUCUACCAUUUUGGUUUGAACUCCAUCUUAAUUAUAAACUCUUCUUUUUCCAAGUCAUUUUACAAUGUGGGAUUUGUUUCCACUUCUCCAAUAAUUAGGUAUGCUCAUAUUAUCUUUUGUUUGAUAUUUUGAAUAGAGACAUACACU
rnacentral:lncRNA from 1 species